GUCGAGGAUAUCGACAAAACUGGGAGGAUACAGAGAAGAUUAGCAUGACCCCUGCGCAAAAGUUACACACAAAUUUGUGAAACGUUCCAUAAUUUU
rnacentral:snRNA from 1 species